rnacentral:rRNA from 1 species
AGUGAACGCUGGCGGUAGGCCUAACACAUGCAAGUCGAACGGCAGCACAGUAAGAGCUUGCUCUUACGGGUGGCGAGUGGCGGACGGGUGAGGAAUACAUCGGAAUCUACUUUUUCGUGGGGGAUAACGUAGGGAAACUUACGCUAAUACCGCAUACGACCUACGGGUGAAAGCAGGGGAUCUUCGGACCUUGCGCGAUUGAAUGAGCCGAUGUCGGAUUAGCUAGUUGGCGGGGUAAAGGCCCACCAAGGCGACGAUCCGUAGCUGGUCUGAGAGGAUGACCACCCACACGGGACCUGAGACACGGUCCAGACUCCUAGGGAGGCAGCAGUGGGGAAUAUUGGACAAUGGGCGCAAGCCUGAUCCAGCCAUACCGCGUGGGUGAAGAAGGCCUUCGGGUUGUAAAGCCCUUUUGUUGGGAAAGAAAAGCAGCAGGUUAAUACCCCGCUGUUCUGACGGUACCCAAAGAAUAAGCACCGGCUAACUUCGUG